rnacentral:snoRNA from 1 species
AGGCAGGUGAUGAUUUAUUAUUAUUUGGACUGAUCAAAUUGUGAUGUUCCAAAUUCGAGCUUUUUAAAGCUGAUGCCUC